UGUUUGCAAGGACUGCUGUGCACCCGGAUGUAGGCAGGCAACAACAUUGAGGAGAUCAUCAACAACACCAGCCUGCAAACCGUAGCUUCUGACUCUGCACAAAAGGAAGAUGUUGAUGUUAACAGCAGACGCACAAUUGCUCUGCAGGCACUUCCCAUCUUCCUGCGUGAAGAUGCUGCUGGAUUUUUUAAGACCUGGAAUGCAGAAGACAUUGACCUGCCACACCUCUCGGAUACAACUGUAGCUGUUCU